ACGUGAGCAGUGUGGUUUUUCGGUAAGGGUACCAACAAGAAAUCCAACAGCUGCUGAAAUUCCACAGGGAAGAGGUUGAGUGGCUGCUCCAGAAGGAUGGUUCCGUUACAAAUGCUUGAUAGUCCCCCCCGUUUGCUGAGCAGUGUGACUGGAGUGGCUGCGCAAUCUAGCUGAGCACAUGGGCAGCUGCUAACACCACGCUUUUGCCCUUGAGCUGCCGGUGUGCACAGUAUGUGGCCUUGCAGGUGUGUGUACAAAGUCCAUCUUGCUCUCUAUGGAUCUUGUGCAUUGCUUGGAUUCCUCUGGCCUCACAGAGCAAUGC